AGAAAAUUACUUUAAAAACCGAAAACGUUUGUGUUAGAGGAGAAGGGAGGGGAGUGAAUUUGAGGGAAAGUGAAAUAAAGAUCUAGAAAGAGAUCGCCGGAUUCCGGCAAGGACGGUGGAUGCCGGUGUACGGACGGUGGUUUAAAGCGGUGGCUACGCCGUGAACGGGAGAAUUAAGGCCGGAGAGAAAUAAUAAGAAAGAGAUAAGAGACUUGUGGGAAAGAUAGAGAGAGGAUGUAGAAUUUAUACAGAGGGA
rnacentral:lncRNA from 1 species